rnacentral:rRNA from 1 species
AGAGCGAACGCUGGCGGCAGGCCUAACACAUGCAAGUCGAGCGCCCGUAGCAAUACGGGAGCGGCAGACGGGAUAGUAACACGUGGGAACGCGCCCUUCGGUUCGGAAUAACUCAGGGAAACUUGAGCUAAUACCGAAUACGCCCUUACGGGGAAAGAUUUAUUGUCGAAGGAACGGCCCGCGUCCGAUUAGCUAGUUGGUGAGGUAAUGGCUCACCAAGGCUACGAUCGGUAGCUGGUCUGAGAGGAUGACCAGCAUCACUGGGACUGAGACACGGCCCAGACUCCUACGGGAGGCAGCAGUGGGGAAUAUUGGACAAUGGGCGAAAGCCUGAUCCAGCCAUGCCGCGUGGAUGAUGAAGGCCUUAGGGUUGUAAAGUCCUUUUAACGGGGAAGAUAAUGACGGUACCCGUAGAAUAAGCCCGGCUAACUUCGCGCCAGCACGCCGC